rnacentral:rRNA from 1 species
UAGGGAAUCUUCGGGAAUGGGGGGAACCCUGACCGAGCAACGCCGCGUGAGUGAAGAAGGUUUUCGGAUCGUAAAGCUCUGUUGUUAAGGAAGAACGAGUGUGAGAAUGGAAAGUUCAUGCUGUGACGGUACUUAACCAGAAAGGGACGGCUAACUACGUGCCAGCAGCCGCGGUAAUACGUAGGUCCCGAGCGUUGUCCGGAUUUAUUGGGCGUAAAGCGAGCGCAGGCGGUUAGAAAAGUCUGAAGUGAAAGGCAGUGGCUCAACCAUUGUAGGCUUUGGAAACUGUUUAACUUGAGUGCAGAAGGGGAGAGUGGAAUUCCAUGUGUAGCGGUGAAAUGCGUAGAUAUAUGGAGGAACACCGGUGGCGAAAGCGGCUCUCUGGUCUGUAACUGACGCUGAGGCUCGAAAGCGUGGGGAGCGAACAGG